rnacentral:rRNA from 1 species
AUUGAACGCUGGCGGCAGGCCUAACACAUGCAAGUCGAGCGGGGACUUCGGUCCUAGCGGCGAACGGGUGAGUAAUGCUUGGGAAUCUGCCCAGUAGUGGGGGAUAACGUCCCGAAAGGGACGCUAAUACCGCAUACGUCCUACGGGAGAAAGAGGGGGAUCUUCGGACCUCUCGCUAUUGGAUGAGCCCAAGUCGGAUUGCUAGUUGGUAGGGUAAUGGCCUACCAAGGCGACGAUCCGUAGCUGGUCUGAGAGGAUGAUCAGCCACACUGGAACUGAGACACGGUCCAGACUCCUACGGGAGGCAGCAGUGGGGAAUAUUGGACAAUGGGCGAAAGCCUGAUCCAGCCAUGCCGCGUGUGUGAAGAAGGCCUUCGGGUUGUAAAGCACUUUAAGCGGGGAGGAAGGUUCGCGGCCUAAUACGUCGCGGAAUUGACGUUACCCGCAGAAUAAGCACCGGCUAACUCUGUG